rnacentral:rRNA from 1 species
CGAACGGGUGAGUAAUAUAUCGGAACGUACCCUGGAGUGGGGGAUAACGUAGCGAAAGUUACGCUAAUACCGCAUACGAUCUACGGAUGAAAGUGGGGGAUCGCAAGACCUCAUGCUCGUGGAGCGGCCGAUAUCUGAUUAGCUAGUUGGUAGGGUAAAGGCCUACCAAGGCAUCGAUCAGUAGCUGGUCUGAGAGGACGACCAGCCACACUGGAACUGAGACACGGUCCAGACUCCUACGGGAGGCAGCAGUGGGGAAUUUUGGACAAUGGGCGAAAGCCUGAUCCAGCAAUGCCGCGUGAGUGAAGAAGGCCUUCGGGUUGUAAAGCUCUUUUGUCAGGGAAGAAACGGUGAGGGCUAAUAUCCCUUGCUAAUGACGGUACCUGAAGAAUAAGCACCGGCUAACUACGUGCCAGCAGCCGCGGUAAUACGUAGGGUGCAAGCGUUAAUCGGAAUUACUGGGCGUAAAGCGUGCGCAGGCGGUUUUGUAAGUCUGAUGUGAAAUCCCCGGGCUCAACCUGGGAAUUGCAUUGGAGACUGCAAGGCUAGAAUCUGGCAGAGGGGGGUAGAAUUCCACGUGUAGCAGUGAAAUGCGUAGAUAUGUGGAGGAACACCGAUGGCGAAGGCAGCCCCCUGGGUCAAGAUUGACGCUCAUGCACGAAAGCGUGGGGAGCAAACAGGAUUAGAUACCCUGGUAGUCCACGCCCUAAACGAUGUCUACUAGUUGUCGGGUCUUAAUUGACUUGGUAACGCAGCUAACGCGUGAAGUAGACCGCCUGGGGAGUACGGUCGCAAGAUUAAAACUCAAAGGAAUUGACGGGGACCCGCACAAGCGGUGGAUGAUGUGGAUUAAUUCGAUG